CACGUCACCAGUACCAGGCAUCCCAAAUGAACGGAUCCCUUUGCUUCUUUACAUUCACGUACCGUCAAUGCCUGAGCUCGACCUACAUGCCUCCAAACUAAGCAAGUUUGAGCAAGUUUCUUACUUUCUGCAAGGCCCAAGAGAAAGAAACUGAACUGAGGUUCCCAUUUCUGGGGAACAGAGAGCCAUCAUCUCCUCCCUCCACAGAGGAGAUGCAGCCAAAGCCCCAAGAACUGAGCAUAGUCCAUGAGUUCUAUUGGCGUCAUUCGAGACUAACUCUUCAAGAGCUGAUAGAUACUCAGUUGUGGAAACUGCAGGAUCAGUUCUCUGUUCAACCACAUCCUCGAGAAUUGUGCAGCCAGAACCUGGGAUGAAAGCAAGCAAAUGUGGGCUCUAUUGUGGAGGUACAAAAAGCUUCAUAUCCUGCUGGUUUUCUGAACACCUGGGCUCAGUGCAAUACCACAUAUGUCCUCCAGGAAGCAGACGUCCCUCACCCAUGGACACUUGUCCACUC